CUAAACUCAUUUCUAUUUUCUAUUUGCAUGCGCCGGCAUCGCCACGACAAUUUUAUACGUCUGCGAUAUUUCGAGGAGUCGGCGUUAGCCUGUCCCGUGUCUUCCGCCGAAACCACGUAAGCGUAGAUCUAUUUGCUGAUCGAGAAGAAAGAAAGUUCAUCGACAGGUCGAACAGAGAGCAGCCGAUAACCACAAAGCCGGAGCCCUUCGAUUCUUGUUGCGAUUUUACGGGCUCGUGGCCGAUAAUGCGAACGUAACGGACGGUCUGGCUCGCGUUUCCGCCGGAGUGUAAUCGUAUUCGAUCGAGCAAUUAGUAGCAUGGAGCGGCCAUUAAGCACUGCUAUUCUCCACGUGAACGUCACGCGGCCACUUUGCACGGCUGUGUUCGUAACCAUUACAGUUGUAAUCGCAUUUACCUGGCGCUCGCGCGCGAGCCAUCGUACGCGUAUAAACGCGAUAAGAAUCGCGCGUCGUAUCGCCCUUAUGGAAUUCUUCUUGCGCAAUUACUCGCGAGACGCCAACUCGAACUCCUUCGAACCAACGUUAUGUAAAAGAAUACAUUGAUCUUUUCGUUUCGAAAUUAACCAAGCGACUUCCUUUCUCCGUACGUGACGUUUCUCACUUCCGACGCUCCGAUAAAGGUAUCGAAUAAUUCGCUCGACUAUAGCGAAAUAAUUUCGAAAGUUGUCCGAGCUAAUAAAAUAAUCUCGCAAGCACGUUUCUUACGACGCAACGCGUCCCUUCUGCGAUCGAGGCGUAGACGAAAAUUCGCUUCGGCGUAGACGUUUCGCGAAUUGACGUUGCGUUUCGUUGAACAGCGACGUCGUGUAGCUUUUUAACGGUACAAAAACUCGUAGCGUUCGACUCAAAGAGAGAACGACGAACGACGAGGAAAAGACGGAGCAAUCGAUCGGCUGUGCCGGAGCGGUAGAGAGAGAUAAAGAGCGUAGAUGCGGAUCCGUCGAGCGGAUUUUUAUCGUGCACGCGUCACGCGUAAUAUUCGCUGGCUGGAACAAGGAAAUAGAGGUAAAGUCUAAGACAAGGAACAAGAGAGUCAGCCAUUUUAUGAAACGGCAGAGCUGCCUCGUCUCGUUGCCAUGAGAGCGCGCCACGUUCAGAUCUUUUGGCGAAAAACUACGAGACGAUUUUAUAACCGAGACGUCAGCUUCGAGAUUUCUCGUUGAAAUUUCGCGUAAUUUUCCGACAUCGAUCGACGAACAGACCAAAAACGAAAUUAGGAUCGUUCCCUCUGCUCUGCCUCAAAUCGCAGCCAACUUGCGCGCUUUCGUCGAUUCUACGCGUCUUUGCUUGCCAUUCGCCGAGUAUAUUUUAGUUAUUUUUCCAUCGUGCCUCGUUAUUCCGUGCUAGCUACCACGAUAACACGAUAUCCUUUUUCCCGCGUUUCCGUUUGUUUUUGUUUCCGUUUUUGUAGUCAUUUCCGCUUCCGGUUUCGUUUUCAUUUGGCCGUCUGCGUCGUGGCUCGUUUCUUUUUUUCCACGAGGAGACAACGUGGCGAGCGUAGUCGUGGAAACGGGACGAUCUUCGGCCUCAUGUUCGUUCUUCCGAGUAAGUUUUAGUCGCACGUUCGAUCCACUUGCGCUCGAUAACGUUUCAUCUUUUCAAUCCGUAAUUUCCGUGUUUUCCGACCUCGUGGCUUCCCCUUCCCUUCUUUUCCCUUCCCUUCCCUUUCCUCUGCCGUCUUUACGCGCACGCUUCACUGUGUCGCGAAGGUGGCAGAUGGACGAAAAGAGAAACCAAUAGCAGGAGAAGGUCGAACAGAGAGGGAGAUGACUUGUUGUAGGAAGAAGGAAGGAAAAGCGAGCGAACUGGGACCCGAGCGAGAAAGAACAGAAGGAACGAAGCGGGAGACGGGUGGGAGCGAGCGAGCAUCGACAGGGGGAAGGGGAGAAAGAGAGAGAUAGAACAGGGAAUCCACGAGCGAUCGACUGCCCUAGUCAGUCCUCGUCCGUCUGCCGGUCGGUCGUUUACGUUUAUGUUUGACAGCUUGUGAAUUCGCGUCACUCGAGCUUCGACCAGCCAGUGCUUCGUCUGUGUGUGUGUGGAUGUGUAUGUGUGCCGUCUCAUCUACCUUGCACGCUCGAUUAAAAAAAUGAAUUCCUUCUCGACCGACUUGCCGAUAUUAAUCGAGACUUUUCUCUUUUUCCUGGAUCGUUCGAUAUUUCGAAUCGAUGCCUCGCAUCCACAUUUUCCGAUGAUUUUAAAAGACACUUUUAUCCGUUCACCGCUGAUUACCGGACUUCGACGAUUCUUCGAUUUUCAAAGGAGAAGAAGAUCUCGGAUAGAAAGUCGUAAGAAAUGUUUGGCUGAGAAUGUCUGUUAGCUGUUUAAAGCCACGUUCCACGCAGUUGAUAGAGAGUCGCGCGAGUAUACGCGUGCCAGAAGCAAGAUGAUGAAACUGAGAAAGUUAGAAAAUGACGGAGUUGAUCGCAGGCUUCUGAGAGUUGGCUACCUACCGUUUGGAACAUGCAGCAACAGCAGGCGAGAAAAAGUUGUUGGUCGUUGGUUGGCUCGGUGAGGACGCAGCUUAAUAGACGCAGGAUCACGCGUCGAAAGUUUCGGACGAUCAGUGAACUUGAAAGCGGUACCAUGAUGAAUCCGCGAAAGUAGGAGCAACGACCACGCGAAGGGAAUGCUGUUCGACUUCCACGCGCUCACGUUACGUGACAAUAUGCCCCCGAAGCUCCGUUUUCUGGCUAAACUACCGAUGCGAACGAUGCCAUCGUGCGCGCGCGCUAAUCGUUCGUAGAAAGUUCAGCAACCUCUGCCGACGUUUCGUCUCGUGGCCCUCUUUCUCCUUCCUUGCCUCUCUCGAUAGCCAACUACUUCGAUCGGCGUACCGAACGUAUUUAACGCUCGAUUCCAUGACGAGCUUCCUGUGCCACGGAACGAGCUGCCAUUCCUCACCAAUACCGUCGCUACGUUAGAACGUGUCGCGAAUUUCGUGGAACGGUGAACGGUCGACCUUGUAAGCCCGACUAGAAAGCUAUACACAGGGUGUUCCAGUAUCGAUGGUAGAAUCGAGGAGGGGCUGGUUCCGUAUUUAAAAAAUAGAUCGAAAAUAUAGAAUACAUUUUUUUUUUCUUUUUUUAUUUCGGGCUUGGAAAUCAUUUGAGACUCGAUUUUCGAGAAAACUGACUUUCAAAGCCUGGUUUUAAAGAAAGUAGAAUUUUCACCGCGUUUGAUUAAGAAUUGGGUUGGCUCACGCGUGUUCGAUCAAGUUUCGAGUUUCAUUUUCUCGUAAACGAAACAUCCUACGAAAAGUAUUUAUUGUCUACAUUUUUUACUUAUUUUCAUACGUAGAACAGAUUCUUGUCGAUUCUUCGCUUUCAUCCAGACCGGAAUUAGCCAAGUUUCGAUGCUUUUGACGAAUCUUCAAAUACGAUUUUUGUCGAAUACGAAGCAAAGUCUCGAUAGCGUGAUCGCUCGGAUAAAAUCUUAUUCUACAGGGUGCUUGGUAACUGGUGGUACAAGCGCAAAGG